CACGGGUGAGUAACGCGUACAUGACCUGCCCUAUACUGGGGGGAUAGUCUUGGGGAAACUGAGAUAAUCCCGCAUGUGAUUAGAAUGCUGCAUGGCAAAUUAAUUAAAGCUGAGGCGGUAUAGGAUGGGGUGUGCGUCUGAUUAGCUAGUUGGUAGUGUAACGGACUACCAAGGCGAUGAUCAGUAGGGGGCGUGAGAGCGUGACCCCCCCACACGGGGUACUGAGACACGGACCCGACUCCUACGGGAGGCAGCAGUAAGGAAUAUUGGUCAAUGGAGGGAACUCUGAACCAGCCAUCCCGCGUGAAGGAUGAAGGGGCUCUGCCUUGUAAACUUCUUUUGCAUGGGACGAAAAAACUUAAUUUAUUAAGGACUGACGGUACCAUGAGAAUAAGCACCGGCUAACUCCGUG
rnacentral:rRNA from 1 species